rnacentral:rRNA from 1 species
CAGCCGCCGCGGGAAUACGGAGGGGGCUAGCGUUGUUCGGAAUUACUGGGCGUAAAGCGCACGUAGGCGGCUUGGUAAGUUAGAGGUGAAAGCCCGGAGCUCAACUCCGGAAUUGCCUUUAAGACUGCCGAGCUAGUAGGUGAGAGAGGUAAGUGGAAUUCCGAGUGUAGAGGUGAAAUUCGUAGAUAUUCGGAAGAACACCAGUGGCGAAGGCGGCCAUCUGGGACAACACUGACGCUGAGGCACGAAAGCGUGGGGAGCAAACAGGAUUAGAGACCCCGGUAGUCCCUGUCUCUUAUAC